UCUGGGCCAGGCAGUCUGGAAGUCACCUGUCCAAGGUCACCUACGCCUUGAAGGAGUCCCUGGGGCUAAGGUGGCUUUUCCCAAGCCUCGGGCCAUCCUGGUGACUUCUCUUCUAGUGGCUGCUUAGCUGGCAGCUACUCAGGAACCUGAACCUAUUUUGGCUCCAGUCCUCCUUUGACACCUGAAUGUCACAUCCUCACUGUCUGGCUCGUUUUGACAGUGACUGAAAACUCUCAAGUGAGAGUUUCUGGGAGGCCCUGCCCGGUCUGCCCACAGGAGGGGAAAAUGGUGUGUGGGCUGAGCCUCGGAAGGGCUGGGGUCCCUGGGUCCCCCUGUUCUAGUUAGAGAACUGGCCACAGAAGCCCCGAGAUGGCCUUCCCUGGGACACAUGGCCGUGUGACAUCCAGCCGGGCUGCCCGGCCGGGGGCCGUCAGCACCACCUGGUUUGGGACCUCGCGGAAGAGCGGCCUUGGCUGCCCACGGCACUUGGUCUUUCCAACCUGGCCAUGGCGAGAUGCAGCGGGGCCCUGUCUUCCAGGACACCGUUGACGUGUGCGCCUGUCUAGUCACCGCCCCGCUGGCCUCUCCGCACUAGCUACUUGUGACAGCUCAUUGUGGUCGGUCCUUUUAAGGCAAUCAGGGCAUUGUUUUGGGGGACACCUCUACAGCCUCCUACCGUCAGUGACCUGGCCUCAGCUACAGUGACGCUCCCCGGGCAGUGGUGUUCGCAGACAAGAUGAGAAAGGUCACACUGCAAAUGGGAGAGCAUGUGACUAGCACCCCUCGCCCCCGAGAGAGCUGACCAGGCGGCUGAUGAGAACCACCUCCUGGGAGUUGAAGGAAGAUUCCGGGCUCAGCCACCCUUCAGCCACCUCACUGGCCACUUGCAGUCUAUCAGGUGACCUUGCUCCCCUGUGGGGCCUCACGGUGACAGCUGAUGCAGGCACUGCUGAAGGCCGAACGGAUGUGGCCUGGUUGUCCCCAAGCUAUGCUCAAGGGCUAGAGGGACGGAGAGAGAAGGGAAGCCAGGCCGGAGGAGCCCACUGGGCUGCCGUGUGCAGAGGGCAGAGGGUCCCAUUCUCUUGCCCUCACGGCCCAGGAGGGUGGCACUGCUUUAAGACGGUGGCUCUGGUCUCCUUGUGAGAAAAAGCACGAAAUCAAUAAAC